rnacentral:rRNA from 1 species
AUUGAACGCUGGCGGCAGGCCUAACACAUGCAAGUCGAGCGAGCGGCGGACGGGUGAGUAAUGUAUGGGGACUGCCCGAUAGAGGGGGAUAACUACUGGAAACGGUGGCUAAUACCGCAUACUAUCGGAUAACCCAUAUGGGAUUAGCUAGUAGGUGGGGUAAAGGCUCACCUAGGCGACGAUCCCUAGCUGGUCUGAGAGGAUGAUCCGCCAAAAUGGGACUGGGAAACGGCCCCGAAUCCUACGGAGGCAGCAGGGGGGGAUAUUGCACAAAUGGCGCAAGCCUGAAGCCGCCAAGCCGGGUGGGUGAAGAAGGCCUUAGGGUUUUAAAGGACCUUCAGCGGGGAGGCGUUACCCGCAGAAGAAGCACCGGCUAACUCCGUGCCAGCAGCCGCGGUAAUAC